CUCCUAAGGGAGGCAGCAGUGAGGAAUAUUGGUCAAUGGACGCAAGUCUGAACCAGCCAUGCCGCGUGCAGGAUGACGGCUCUAUGAGUUGUAAACUGCUUUUCUACGAGGGUAAACGCAGAUACGUGUAUCUGUCUGAAAGUAUCGUACGAAUAAGGAUCGGCUAACUCCGUGCCAGCAGCCGCGGUAAUACGGAGGAUUCAAGCGUUAUCCGGAUUUAUUGGGUUUAAAGGGUGCGUAGGCGGUUUGAUAAGUUAGAGGUGAAAUUUCGGGGCUCAACCCUGAACGUGCCUCUAAUACUGUUGAGCUAGAGAGUAGUUGCGGUAGGCGGAAUGUAUGGUGUAGCGGUGAAAUGCUUAGAGAUCAUACAGAACACCGAUUGCGAAGGCAGCUUACCAAACUAUAUCUGACGUUGAGGCACGAAAGCGUGGGGAGCAAACAGGAUUAGAUACCCUGGUAGUCCACGCAGUAAACGGUGAUAACUCGUUGUCGGCGAUACACAGUCGGUGACUAAGCGAAAGCGAUAAGUUAUCCACCUGGGGAGUACGUUCGCAAGAAUGAAACUCAAAGGAAUUGACGGGGGCCCGCACAAGCGGAGGAACAUGUGGUUUAAUUCGAUGAUACGCGAGGAACCUUACCCGGGCUUGAAAGUUAGCGACGAUUCUUGAAAGAGGAUUUCCCUUCGGGGCGCGAAACUAGGUGCUGCAUGGUUGUCGUCAGCUCGUGCCGUGAGGUGUCGGGUUAAGUCCCAUAACGAGCGCAACCCCUACCGUUAGUUGCCAUCAGGUGAAGCUGGGCACUCUGGCGGGACUGCCGGUGUAAGCCGAGAGGAAGGUGGGGAUGACGUCAAAUCAGCACGGCCCUUACGUCCGGGGCUACACACGUGUUACAAUGGUAGGUACAGAGGGCAGCUACCCAGCGAUGGGAUGCGAAUCUCGAAAGCCUAUCUCAGUUCGGAUUGGAGGCUGAAACCCGCCUCGCAUGAAGUUGGAUUCGCUAGUAAUCGCGCAUCAGCCAUGGCGCGGUGAAUACGUUCCCGGGCCUUGUACACACCGC
rnacentral:rRNA from 1 species